rnacentral:rRNA from 1 species
GCAAGUCGAACGAAGAGGCCCCUUCGGGGGUACUUCAGUGGCGGACGGGUGAGUAACACGUAGGCGACCUGCCCCGAAGCAGGGGAUAACGGCCCGAGAGGGCCGCUAAUACCCAAAAGGGUCACGAGUCAUAUCGUGAUCAGAGUUACGGCGUUUCGGGAGGGGCCUGCGGCCCAUCAGCUAGUUGGUAGGGUAACGGCCUACCAAGGCGACGACGGGUAGGGGGCCUGAGAGGGUGAUCCCCCACAUUGGCACUGACACACGGGCCAAACUCCUACGGGAGGCAGCAGUGAGGAAUAUUGCACAAUGAGCGAAAGCUAGAUGCAGCAACGCCGCGUGGACGACGAAGGCCUUCGGGUCGUAAAGUCCUUUUCAGGGGGACGAGUGAGGACGGUACCUCUGGAAUAAGUCACGGCUAACUACGUGCCAGCAGCCGCGGUAAAACGUAGGUGGCGAGCGUUAUCCGGAUUCACUGGGCGUAAAGCGCCUGCAGGCGGUCUCGUAAGUGGGAUGUGAAAUCUCUUGGCUCAACUGGGAGGGGCCAUUCCAUACUGCGGGUCUGGAGGGCAGAAGAGGGAAGCGGAAUUCCCGGUGUAGUGGUGAAAUGCGUAGAUAUCGGGAGGAACACCAGUGGCGAAGGCGGCUUCCUGGCCUGCUCCUGACGCUAAGAGGCGAAAGCUAGGGGAGCGAACGGGAUUAGAAACCCCGGUAGUCCUAGCCGUAAACGAUGGAUACUGGGUGUCGGCGGUCCUAACCCCGUCGGUGCCGAAGCAAACGCGUUAAGUAUCCUGGGGACUACGGCCGCAAGGUUAAAACUCAAAGGAAUUGACGGGACCCCGCACAAGCAGCGGAGCGUGUGGUUUAAUUCGAUGCUACACGAAGAACCUUACCCAGGUUUGACAUGCAAGUAGUAGUGAAGCGAAAGCGGAACGACCCGCAAGGGAGCUUGCACAGGUGCUGCAUGGCUGUCGUCAGCUCGUGCCGUGAGGUGUUGGGUUAAGUCCCCUAACGAGCGCAACCCUCGUCGUCAGUUACAUGUGUCUGGCGAGACUGCCGGUCUAAAGCCGGAGGAAGGUGGGGAUGAUGUCAAGUCAGCAUGGCCUUUAUAUCUGGGGCUACACACACGCUACAGUGGCCAGUACAAUGGGUCGCCAACCCGCGAGGGGGAGCCAAUCCUAAAAAGCUGGUCUCAGUUCGGAUUGCAGGCUGCAACCCGCCUGCAUGAAGUCGGAGUUGCUAGUAAACGCAGGUCAGCCAUACUGCGUUGAAUACGUUCCCGGGGUUUGUACACACCGCCCGUCACGUCAUGGGAGCUGGUAACACCUGAAGCCGGUGCGCUAACCGCAAGGGGGCAGCCGUCGAGGGUGGGACUGGUGACUGGGACGAAGUCGUAACAAGGUA